rnacentral:rRNA from 1 species
AAUCAUGGCUCAGGAUGAACGCUAGCUACAGGCUUAACACAUGCAAGUCGAGGGGCAGCAUGGACCCAGCUUUGCUGGGUUUGAUGGCGACCGGCGCACGGGUGAGUAACGCGUAUCCAACCUGCCCUUUACUCCGGGAUAGUCUCCUGAAAGGGAGUUUAAUACCGGAUGUGUUUGUCUUUCCGCAUGGGAGCAACAAAUAAAGAUUAAUUGGUAAAGGAUGGGGAUGCGUCCCAUUAGCUUGUUGGCGGGG